AGGCCUAACACAUGCAAGUCGAGCGCGUGUAGCAAUACACGAGCGGCAGACGGGAGAGUAACACGUGGGAACGUACCCUUCGGUUCGGAAUAACCCAGGGAAACUUGGAUUAAUACCGGAUACGUCCGAAAGGAGAAAGAUUCAUCGCCGAAGGAUCGGCCCGCGGCUGAUUAGCUAGUUGGUGAGGUAACGGCUCACCAAGGCGACGAUCGGUAGCUGGUCUGAGAGGAUGAUCAGCCUCACUGGGACUGAGACACGGCCCAG
rnacentral:rRNA from 1 species